UACGUAGGUUGCGAGCGUUGUCCGGAUUUACUGGGCGUAAAGCGCGCGCAGGCGGUCCCGAAAGUCGAAGGUGAAAGCUCCCGGCCCAACUGGGAGAGGCCCUUCGAAACUUCGGGACUUGAAGGCGGGAGAGGCAAAUGGAAUUUCCGGUGUAGCGGUAAAAUGCGUAGAUACCGGAAGGAACACCAGUGGCGAAAGCGAUUUGCUGGCCCGCCCUUGACGCUAAGGCGCGAAAGCUAGGGUAGCGACCGGG
rnacentral:rRNA from 1 species